rnacentral:rRNA from 1 species
CAUGCAGGCGGUUAUACAAGUAGGAUGUGAAAGCCUGGGGCUCAACCUCAGAACUGCAUUCUAAACUGUGUGACUAGAGUAUUGCAGGGGGAGACGGAAUUUCAGGUGUAGCGGUGGAAUGCGUAGAUAUCUGAAAGAACACCCAAGGCGAAGGCAGUCUCCUGGGCAAAUACUGACGCUCAUAUGCGAAAGCGUGGGUAGCAAACA